rnacentral:lncRNA from 1 species
UAUACCUAGUAUAGGGAGUAUAGUCAGAAAAUCUGUGUGAAAAUAGAAAGUAUAUCCGGUGAGGAAUUGAGGGAAUUCUCUAAGGCAUGUUACUACAUUCAAAACGUUGUUUUAAUUGAUUAAAUGUGAGCUAGUAAGUGGUGACUAUGAUUAAGUGUGCUAGAGGGUAAGGAUUGCUAAAAUCUAUGUGAGUGGUGAUCUUCGGCAUGUCAUGUUUCAUUGGAAAUCCCUGAGGCAAACGUUGAAAGGUCUAGGUUAUGUUUUGUUUGCUUCGUUUGUUUUGUUUUGCUCGAGGACU